rnacentral:rRNA from 1 species
AUUGAACGCUGGCGGCAUGCCUUACACAUGCAAGUCGAACGGCAGCACGGGAGCAAUCCUGGUGGCGAGUGGCGAACGGGUGAGUAAAGUAUCGGAACGUGCCCAGUCGUGGGGGAUAACGUAGCGAAAGUUACGCUAAUACCGCAUACGAUCUAUGGAUGAAAGCGGGGGAUCGCAAGACCUCGCGCGAUUGGAGCGGCCGAUAGCAGAUUAGGUAGUUGGUGGGGUAAAGGCUCACCAAGCCGACGAUCUGUAGCUGGUCUGAGAGGACGACCAGCCACACUGGGACUGAGACACGGCCCAGACUCCUACGGGAGGCAGCAGUGGGGAAUUUUGGACAAUGGGCGCAAGCCUGAUCCAGCCAUGCCGCGUGCAGGAUGAAGGCCUUCGGGUUGUAAACUGCUUUUGUACGGAACGAAAAGGUUUGGCCUAAUACGCUGAACUCAUGACGGUACCGUAAGAAUAAGCACCGGCUAACUACGUGCCAGCAGCCGCCGUAA